UACGAAGGGGGCUAGCGUUGUUCGGAUUUACUGGGCGUAAAGCGCACGUAGGCGGAUCGUUAAGUCGGGGGUGAAAUCCUGGAGCUCAACUCCAGAACUGCCUUCGAUACUGGCGAUCUUGAGUCCGGAAGAGGUGAGUGGAACUCCUAGUGUAGAGGUGGAAUUCGUAGAUAUUAGGAAGAACACCAGUGGCGAAGGCGGCUCACUGGUCCGGU
rnacentral:rRNA from 1 species